rnacentral:rRNA from 1 species
AAUCAAGCGCGAAAAGGGCGUUUGGUGGAUGCCUUGGCAGUAAGAGGCGAUGAAGGACGUGAUACCCUGCGUUAAGCUUUGGGGAGCCGGGAAUAGGCUUUGAUCCAGAGAUGUCCGAAUGGGGAAACCCACCUGAUAUUCUGUUAUUUUUAUCCCUCGGGAUAAUGAAUAAUGGGGUAAGCCAGGUACUUUUACCCUGAAUACAUAGGGGUUUAAGAGCAAACCCGGGGAACUGAAACAUCUAAGUACCCGGAGGAAAGG